rnacentral:rRNA from 1 species
UACGUAGGGUGCAAGCGUUGUCCGGAUUUAUUGGGCGUAAAGAGCUCGUAGGCGGUUUGUCGCGUCGGAUGUGAAAACCCAGGGCUCAACCCUGGGCCUGCAUUCGAUACGGGCAGACUAGAGUAUGGCAGGGGAGACUGGAAUUCCUGGGUGUAGCGGUGAAAUGACGCAGAUAUCAGGAGGAACACCGGUGGCGAAGGCGGGUCUCUGGGCCAAAACUGACGCUGAGGAGCGAAAGCGUGGGGAGCGAACAGG